rnacentral:rRNA from 1 species
AACGAACGCUGGCGGCAUGCCUAACACAUGCAAGUCGAACGAUCCCUUCGGGGAUAGUGGCGCACGGGUGCGUAACGCGUGGGAACCUGCCCUUAGGUUCGGAAUAACUCAGAGAAAUUUGAGCUAAUACCGGAUAAUGUCUUCGGACCAAAGAUUUAUCGCCUUUGGAUGGGCCCGCGUUGGAUUAGCUAGUUGGUGGGGUAAAGGCCUACCAAGGCGACGAUCCAUAGCUGGUCUCAGAGGAUGAUCAGCCACACUGGGACUGAGACACGGCCCAGACUCCUACGGGAAGCAGCAGUGGGGAAUAUUGGACAAUGGGCGAAAGCCUGAUCCAGCAAUGCCGCGUGAGUGAUGAAGGCCUUAGGGUUGUAAAGCUCUUUUACCCGGGAUGAUAAUGACAGUACCGGGAGAAUAAGCCCCGGCUAACUCCGUG